rnacentral:rRNA from 1 species
GACGAACGCUGGCGGCGUGCUUAACACAUGCAAGUCGAGCGGUAAGGCCCUUCGGGGUACACGAGCGGCGAACGGGUGAGUAACACGUGGGUGAUCUGCCUCGUACUUCGGGAUAAGCUUGGGAAACUGGGUCUAAUACCGGAUAUGACCUUCCAGUGCAUGCUGGUGGGUGGAAAGAUUUAUCGGUGCGAGAUGGGCCCGCGGCCUAUCAGCUUGUUGGUGGGGUAAUGGCCCACCAAGGCGACGACGGGUAGCCGACCUGAGAGGGUGACCGGCCACACUGGGACUGAGACAUGGCCCAGACUCCUACGGGAGGCAGCAGUGGGGAAUAUUGCACAAUGGGCGGAAGCCUGAUGCAGCGACGCCGCGUGAGGGAUGACGGCCUUCGGGUUGUAAACCUCUUUCGACAGGGACGAAGCGUGAGUGACGGUACCUGUAGAAGAAGCACCGGCCAACUACGUGCCAGCAGCCGCGGUAAUACGUAGGGUGCGAGCGUUGUCCGGAAUUACUGGGCGUAAAGAGCUUGUAGGCGGUUUGUCGCGUCGUCUGUGAAAACUCACAGCUCAACUGUGAGCUUGCAGGCGAUACGGGCAGACUUGAGUACUUCAGGGGAGACUGGAAUUCCUGGUGUAGCGGUGAAAUGCGCAGAUAUCAGGAGGAACACCGGUGGCGAAGGCGGGUCUCUGGGAAGUAACUGACGCUGAGAAGCGAAAGCGUGGGUAGCGAACAGGAUUAGAUACCCUGGUAGUCCACGCCGUAAACGGUGGGUACUAGGUGUGGGUUUCCUUCCACGGGAUCCGUGCCGUAGCUAACGCAUUAAGUACCCCGCCUGGGGAGUACGGCCGCAAGGCUAAAACUCAAAGGAAUUGACGGGGGCCCGCACAAGCGGCGGAGCAUGUGGAUUAAUUCGAUGCAACGCGAAGAACCUUACCCGGGUUUGACAUACACCGGAAACCUGCAGAGAUGUAGGCCCCCUUGUGGUCGGUGUACAGGUGGUGCAUGGCUGUCGUCAGCUCGUGUCGUGAGAUGUUGGGUUAAGUCCCGCAACGAGCGCAACCCUUAUCUUAUGUUGCCAGCGCGUAAUGGCGGGGACUCGUGAGAGACUGCCGGGGUCAACUCGGAGGAAGGUGGGGACGACGUCAAGUCAUCAUGCCCCUUAUGUCCAGGGCUUCACACAUGCUACAAUGGCCGGUACAGAGGGCUGCGAUACCGUGAGGUGGAGCGAAUCCCUUAAAGCCGGUCUCAGUUCGGAUCGGGGUCUGCAACUCGACCCCGUGAAGUUGGAGUCGCUAGUAAUCGCAGAUCAGCAACGCUGCGGUGAAUACGUUCCCGGGCCU